GAUGAACGCUGGCGGCGUGCCUAAUACAUGCAAGUCGAGCGAACAGACGAGGAGCUUGCUCCUCUGACGUUAGCGGCGGACGGGUGAGUAACACGUGGAUAACCUACCUAUAAGACUGGGAUAACUUCGGGAAACCGGAGCUAAUACCGGAUAAUAUAUUGAACCGCAUGGUUCAAUAGUGAAAGACGGUUUUGCUGUCACUUAUAGAUGGAUCCGCGCCGCAUUAGCUAGUUGGUAAGGUAACGGCUUACCAAGGCGACGAUGCGUAGCCGACCUGGGAGCGUGAUCGGCCACACUCGAACUGAGACACGGUCCAGACUCCUACGGGCGGCAGCCGUAGGGAAUCUUCCGCAAUGGGCGAAGGCCUGAUGAAGCAACGCCGCGUGAGUGAUGAAGGUCUUCGGAUCGUAAGACUCUGUUAUUAGGGAAGAAGAAAUGUGUAAGUAACUAUGCACGUCUUGACGGUACCUAAUCAGAAAGCCCCGGCUAACUACGUG
rnacentral:rRNA from 1 species